AUGCAGGACAAAGACAACUCUAUUGUCAGUGACCUGACUCCAGGGGAAUGGCAAGAAGUGAAGAACAUCCCAGGAAGAAAGAGGAGCUGCAGACUGACAUAGCUAACUGAAGGAUGAGAAUUGCAAUAGCUAACAAAAUUGAGAAUCUAGGACACAGAGAAGAAUGGUAAGACAUGCAGAAUAACAAACAGGUGGCCAUGGGUAGACAAAAAUUAAUGCAGGUACUAGAAAAAGAUUCAGUUCUUAACAGAGAAAGGUCUGUUCAACAGACCCUUGUUGAACACUUGUGAAGACACUGCCCAGUUUUUGUAGAAAGGUGAAGAACUCAGCAAAACAGCCGUUGCCUGGGGGAAGAGGUGAGUUUAAUAUCCAGGUUCUUCGUUGCUUUUGUGGAGGUACAUGAGUUCAUGGAUUUAAAUUUUGUCUAACCAUUACAGCAAUUCCUGUGGCCGUGAGAGGCACAAAAGCCUGACACGAUGAUGGAGGCAUUUGCCCAGGGAUAUUGUCAGUGCAGUAAAGAAUAAUUUUAGUUCAGACGCUCAUGCUGUCUCCCCUUUGCCAUCAUUUUGUUGAACAGCAGCCAUAACCCCAGUGUCAAAAAUAAGCCCCCCGCAAAGGCUAUUGCCAUUAAUAGAGGCGCCAGUGAUGGAGGAGUCCUGCUAGACAAGCAACUCCGGAGUCUGCAGUUUCCUAAUUCAAU
rnacentral:lncRNA from 1 species